AUCUUGAACCAAGUCUCCGCGCAUUGUUUGUGAGCAACAGCUAAAUCCUCUUUACAAGAACAGCCCAACACAAUCGCAAAACCUGAUUCAGAAGCCGCAGUUUCCAAACCGAGAUGACAAAUACGGCAAUCUCUUUCAAUUUUCUCCAAAUUCGAUUCAAUUUCUGAGAGUCCGUCUUCCAAUUCAAGAUCUUCAAAAAUUUUUUGUGCCUCCCAAACCAAACCACAACUGAC
rnacentral:lncRNA from 1 species